GAUGAAGAACGUAGCGAAAUGCGAUAAGUAAUGUGAAUUGCAGAAUUCAGUGAAUCAUCGAAUCUUUGAACGCACCUUGCGCUCCUUGGUAUUCCGAGGAGCAUGCCUGUUUGAGUGUCAUUAAAUUCUCAACCUUAUUGGCUUUUGCUGAUAAUGGCUUGGACUUGGGGGUCUUUUUGCUGGCUUUCAUUUGUCUGCUCCCCUUAAAUGUAUUAGCCGGUGCCCCGCAGUGGAACCGUCUAUUGGUGUGAUAAUUAUCUACGCCGUGGACGUCUGCUAUAAUGGGUUUGCGCUGCUUCUAACCGUCUCUCGGGACAACACAAAUGACAAUUUGACCUCAAAUCAGGUAGGACUACCCGCUGAACUUAAGCAUAUCAAUAAGCGGAGGA
rnacentral:misc_RNA from 1 species